rnacentral:rRNA from 1 species
UACGUAGGGUGCAAGCGUUUAAUCGGAAUUACUGGGCGUAAAGCGUGCGCAGGCGGUUGUGCAAGACAGAUGUGAAAUCCCCGGGCUUAACCUGGGAAUUGCAUUUGUGACUGCACGGCUAGAGUGUGUCAGAGGGGGUAGAAUUCCACGUGUAGCAGUGAAAUGCGUAGAUAUGUGGAGGAAUACCGAUGGCGAAGGCAGCCCCCUGGGAUAACACUGACGCUCAUGGCAACGGAAAGCGUGGGGAGCAAACAGG